GCGAAUAUAGAUAAAUAGGUAAAAUCACUAAUCUUCCAAAUUAGAAUUUAUGGGUUCGAAUCCCGUUAUUCGCU
rnacentral:tRNA from 1 species